rnacentral:misc_RNA from 1 species
GUCAACAAACCAACAAUUAGAGAGCGAGACAAAGUAUGAACGUCGUGGGAAUAUUGUGAAUGACAGCCAGAUGCUGAGUCUGAUGAUGGAGCAACCGAGGAGCUAUUCGUGAAGGUGCCAUUUCUCCCUCCACUUCCUGGAUAUAUACAAGAACCAUGACUAGGAUCAGUGGUAGUGACUUUAGCAACCCCAUUGAAGUUGCAAGUUCCAUCGGCCAUGCCCAUCUUGUGAUAAUACGCAUCAAAAGCAUAUGAUGCAUGAGCAAACACAGUAUUUGGGUCAUAGCAAGGAUUUUCUUGCAACAAAGGAGUACAG